rnacentral:misc_RNA from 1 species
GAAACGCGAUAGUUAAUGUGAAUUGCAGAAUUCCGUGAAUCAUCGAAUCUUUGAACGCACAUUGCGCCCUCUGGCAUUCCGGGGGGCAUGCCUGUCCGAGCGUCAUUACGCACCCUCAAGCCCGGCUUGUGUGAUGGGCCCCGGCGUCUCGUUCGCGAGACGGGCCCGAAAGGCAGCGGCGGCGUCGACCCGAUGAGCCCGAGCGUAUGGGGACUUCUGUCACACGUUCGCGGUGCGGACCGGCGCCUGCUUGACUUUUCUGAUUAUCCAGGUUGACCUCGGAUCAGGUAGGGAUACCCGCUGAACUUAAGC